rnacentral:rRNA from 1 species
CCUACGGGAGGCAGCAGUAGGGAAUAUUGGACAAUGGGCGAAAGCCUGAUCCAGCAAUGCCGCGUGAGUGAUGAAGGCCUUAGGGUCGUAAAGCUCUUUUACCAGGGAUGAUAAUGACAGUACCUGGAGAAUAAGCUCCGGCUAACUCCGUGCCAGCAGCCGCGGUAAUACGGAGGGAGCUAGCGUUGUUCGGAAUUACUGGGCGUAAAGCGUACGUAGGCGGUUAUUCAAGUCAGAGGUGAAAGCCCGGGGCUCAACCCCGGAACUGCCUUUGAAACUAGGUAGCUAGAAUCUUGGAGAGGUCAGUGGAAUUCCGAGUGUAGAGGUGAAAUUCGUAGAUAUUCGGAAGAACACCAGUGGCGAAGGCGACUGACUGGACAAGUAUUGACGCUGAGGUACGAAAGCGUGGGGAGCAAACAGGAUUAGAUACCCUGGUAGUCCACGCCGUAAACGAUGAUAACUAGCUGUUCGGGCACUUGGUGCUUGAGUGGCGCAGCUACGCAUUAAGUUAUCCGUCCGUCGGGUAGGUACGGUCGCGAAGAAUUAAAACGUUAAAAGGUAAAGUUAGUACGGCGUGAGACGUGCCGACGGACGACGACGAGGGAGUAGG